GACAGAGGGUGCAAGCGUUGUUCGGAAUUACUGGGCGUAAAGCGUGUGUAGGCGGCUAUGUAAGUCGGAUGUGAAAGCCCUGGGCUCAACCCAGGAAGUGCACUCGAUACUGCGUAGCUUGAGUACCGGAGAGGUUGGUGGAAUUCUCGGUGUAGAGGUGAAAUUCGUAGAUAUCGAGAGGAACACCGGUGGCGAAGGCGGCCAACUGGACGAGUACUGACGCUGAGACACGAAAGCGUGGGGAGCAAACAGG
rnacentral:rRNA from 1 species